AUUGAACGCUGGCGGCAGGCCUAACACAUGCAAGUCGGGCUAGCGGCGGACGGGUGAGUAAUGUAUGGGGACCUGCCUGAUGGAGGGGGAUAACUACUGGAAACGGUAGCUAAUACCGCAUACCAUCCGAUGAGCCCAUAUGGGAUUAGCUGGUAGGUAGGGUAACGGCUUACCUAGGCGACGAUCCCUAGCUGGUGUGAGAGGAUGAUCAGACAAACUGGGACUGAGACACGGACCAGACUCCUACGGCAGGCAGCAGUGGGGAAGAUUGCACAAUGGGCGCAAGCCUGAUGCAGCCAGGCCGCGUGUAUGAAGAAGGCCUUAGGGUUGUAAAGUACUUUCAUCGGGGAGGCGUUACCCGCAGAAGAAGCACCGGCUAACUCCGUGCCAGCCGCCGCGGUAAUAC
rnacentral:rRNA from 1 species